CAUAUCACCUUUCUGCUCUGCAGUCUUCCCUGCCUCUAAAUUCCGUUUAUGUCUACCGUCCCCUCAAGCACACCCUGGUGACCUGUGACAAAGGAGCGUUCAAAUUACAUCCCUCCUCUAUCUCAGGCCCAGAUUUCUCCAAGGACAACAGCAAGCCAGAAGUGCCAGUCAGAGGUGGACGACUUGUAUGACGGGAUCAAGCGGCUCUAUAACGAAGACAGUGGUUCCGAGAAUGUGGGCUCUGUGUGUGGCACUGAUUUAUCCAGACAAGAGGGCCAUGCUUCCCCCUGUCCACCUUUGCAGCCUGUUUCUGUCAUGUAGUUUCAGGUGUCACCUUCCAGUGCACACUAAGGCUGACUACUUGGGGUGAGACUAGAAAACCAGGAAAGGCUAUAGAGAAGGGCAUGUGCUUUAUCAGACUGAAGUGAGCCAGGAAAAAAGAAAAACACUUAUUCUUUUGUGCAAUUACUUACAAUUCAACAUAAUUUAAUAUAAAGGCAUAUAUUUAUAAACUCAAGAUCCAAAAUAUAUUUAAAAGUAAAGCAAAAGUUCUUUGUACUAUGUCAGUUCCACUUCUUUGUUAAAAUAAGUUUGCCCAUGUCCAAAAAAAAUUUUUAAAAAGUAAAUGUUUAGGGGAAAGUUGCAAACUCACAGCUAGGAACCUUGUUCAUGUUGACCUCUUCCUCUUGCCUUUUCUUGCCUCGGUUGAAUACUUCAUAAGUUGUGUGCUUGUUGAUUUGUGUAUUCUGACUUCACUGAACAAGUAACACCCACCUUUUCUUUUAAAGUAAUUCAGGAGGCAAAUUAUUUUUUGUGGCAGCCAUGUUUAAUCCACGGUUCAAGUGUGUUAGUCUGAAAAGGGCACUUUGAAGCUAUCCCCAUGAAUCAGUGGCAGUAGGAAAAGUUCUCUUAUUUUGUCAGUCUUAUUUUAGUUUUUAGUUUAAAAAGAUUACUAUUGUCCUUUUUUGUUUAUCUUGAAGCUUAAAAAUGGCAUGUAAUUAGGACAUCUUAAGCAUUUUGACGUUUAUAUAAAAGAAUUUCUGAUAAAGUUAAUAUAUCCAGGUGCUCACCAAAGAAACAUGUAUGUAACAUAUAAGUAGAUUUUUGUAACUGAUCUGUUUUCACUCAUUUAUAAUCAGUAGAAGCAACUGUCUAGAUAUUGGGGCAGCCCUGAUUGGAGUCUAACUUAUAAUUGAAUUCAGUACCCUAGUUUUAUAUUGCGCUAUUAGGAUUUUCUUUAUAAGGAAUUUUUCCCUUGUUUUUCUCUGAUUGGCUUCUGGACCCUGAGCUCCCUUUGCAGUCUGAAGAUGGCACUGCAGUCAGAACCGUGUACUGCUGGGAAAGCCUCUGGUAGCAAUAAAAUGUUGUCCUUAA
rnacentral:lncRNA from 1 species